GUGGGGAAUAUUGGACAAUGGGGGGAACCCUGAUCCAGCCAUGCCGCGUGUGUGAAGAAGGCCUUUUGGUUGUAAAGCACUUUAAGCGAGGAGGAGGCUACCGAGAUUAAUACUCUUGGAUAGUGGACGUUACUCGCAGAAUAAGCACCGGCUAACUCUGUGCCAGCAGCCGCGGUAAUACAGAGGGUGCAAGCGUUAAUCGGAUUUACUGGGCGUAAAGCGCGCGUAGGUGGCCAAUUAAGUCAAAUGUGAAAUCCCCGAGCUUAACUUGGGAAUUGCAUUCGAAACUGGUUGGCUAGAGUAUGGGAGAGGAUGGUAGAAUUCCAGGUGUAGCGGUGAAAUGCGUAGAGAUCUGGAGGAAUACCGAUGGCGAAGGCAGCCAUCUGGCCUAAUACUGACACUGAGGUGCGAAAGCAUGGGGAGCAAACAGGAUUAGAAACCCUUGUAGUCC
rnacentral:rRNA from 1 species